rnacentral:rRNA from 1 species
UUUUAUGAGAGUUUGAUCCUGGCUCAGGACGAACGCUGGCGGCGUGCCUAAUACAUGCAAGUCGAACGCUUCUUUUUCCACCGGAGCUUGCUCCAUCGGAAAAAGAAGAGUGGCGAACGGGUGAGUAACACGUGGGUAACCUGCCCAUCAGAAGGGGAUAACACUUGGAAACAGGUGCUAAUACCGUAUAACAAUCGAAACCGCAUGGUUUUGAUUUGAAAGGCGCUUUCGGGUGUCGCUGAUGGAUGGACCCGCGGUGCAUUAGCUAGUUGGUGAGG